rnacentral:tRNA from 1 species
GGUAUCGUAGCUUAGUUGAUUAAAGGGUUGGUUUUAUGAGCCAAAAGUUGUGGGAUCAAGCCCCGCCGAAACCA